GACGAACGCUGGCGGCGUGCUUAACACAUGCAAGUCGAACGGAAAGGCCCUGCUUUUGUGGGGUGCUCGAGUGGCGAACGGGUGAGUAACACGUGAGUAACCUGCCCUUGACUUUGGGAUAACUUCAGGAAACUGGGGCUAAUACCGGAUAGGAGCUCCUGCUGCAUGGUGGGGGUUGGAAAGUUUCGGCGGUUGGGGAUGGACUCGCGGCUUAUCAGCUUGUUGGUGGGGUAGUGGCUUACCAAGGCUUUGACGGGUAGCCGGCCUGAGAGGGUGACCGGCCACAAUGGGACUGCGAUACGGCCCAGACGCCUACGGUAGGCAGCAGUGGGGAGUAUUGCACAAUGGGCGGAAGUCUGAUGCAGCAACGCCGCGUGCGGGAUGACGGCCUUCGGGUUGUAAACCGCUUUCGCCUGUGACGAAGCGUGAGUGACGGUAAUGGGUAAAGAAGCACCGGCUAACUACGUG
rnacentral:rRNA from 1 species